rnacentral:rRNA from 1 species
GGCCGCGGGAAUUCGAUUCAGGCCUAACACAUGCAAGUCGAACGAACGGAGGAGAAAUUGCUCUCCAAAGUUAGUGGCGGACGGGUGAGUAACGCGUGGGUAACCUGCCUCAUGCAGGGGGAUAACAUCUGGAAACGGAUGCUAAUACCGCAUAAACUAUGGAUGACCGCAUGGUCAUUAUAGCAAAGAUUUAUCGGCAUGAGAUGGACCCGCGUUGGAUUAGCUAGUUGGUGAGAUAACAGCCCACCAAGGCGACGAUCCAUAGCCGGCCUGAGAGGGUG